rnacentral:rRNA from 1 species
GCUCAGAAACUUAAAGGAAUUGACGGGGGCUCACACAAGCGGUGGAGCAUGUUGUUUAAUUCGAGGCUACGCGAAGAACCUUACCUGGGUUUGAAGCGGUAGGUAUAAGCAUGUCGAAAGAUGUGUGAUUGCCCUUCGGGGUGUAACCUAUCACAGGUGCUGCAUGGCUGUCGUCAGCUCGUGCCGUGAGGUGUUAGGUUAAGUCCUGCAACGAGCGCAACCCUCGUCGCUAGUUAAAUUUUUCUAGCGAUACUGCCCGUAAAACGAGGAGGAAGGUGGGGAUGACGUCAAGUCAGCAUGGCCCUUACGCCUUGGGCUACACACACGCUACAAUGGGUGAUACAACGGGUUGCGAGAGAGCGAUCUGGAGCUAAUCCCUAAAAUCAUCCUCAGUUCGGAUUGCAGGCUGAAACUGCCUGCAUGAAGUUGGAGUUGCUAGUAACCGCAGGUCAGCACACUGCGGUGAAUACGUUCUCGGGCCUU